GCAAACUUGGUCAUUUAGAGGAAGUAAAAGUCGUAACAAGGUUUCCGUAGGUGAACCUGCGGAAGGAUCAUUAUAGAAUGAAAAUGAGCUUGUUGCUGGCUUCUUGAAGCAUGUGCACGGCUCACUACAUUUUUUUUUUUACCUCCUGUGCACCCUCGUGUAGACCUUGAAAAAGGGGAAUGCUCAAACUCGAAGAUCCUGGUCACAACAACAGGACUUUGGAUUCCCCAGGUGAUUUGCUGUGCUCAAACAAAUUGAUGCAGCGGCUGUCCGCCAACGGGAUUGCAUUUUUUCAAGGUUCUAUGUUUUCUAGUAACAACCCCCAGUGUAUGAUGAAUUCAGCGCCCAUUCAGUGGCUUAAAUAAUAAAAAAUACAACUUUCAACAACGGAUCUCUUGGCUCUCGCAUCGAUGAAGAACGCAGC
rnacentral:misc_RNA from 1 species